UACGUAGGUGGCAAGCGUUAUCCGGAAUUACUGGGUGUAAAGGGCGUGUAGGCGGGAAAUUAAGUCAGAUGUGAAAUUCCAAGGCUCAACCUUGGCGCUGCAUCUGAAACUAGUUUUCUUGAGUGAUGGAGAGGAAAGCGGAAUUCCUAGUGUAGCGGUGAAAUGCGUAGAUAUUAGGAGGAACACCAGUGGCGAAGGCGGCUUUCUGGACAUUAACUGACGCUGAGGCGCGAAAGCGUGGGGAGCAAACAGG
rnacentral:rRNA from 1 species